ACUGUAAUUGGCUUGUAAAGUACUGUAUGCAAAUAUUCUAUUGUAUAUAAAUAAAGGUAUAGAACCAAUAGAGAAAUUGUAGCGUAACUUUCCCAUCGACUUUGGCAAAGGUGCUGGAGCAGUUAAAGGCUCUGCUAACUGACGAGUAGGAGCGAAGCACAGCUUAGAGAGAGAGAGAGAGAGAGAGAGAGAGAGAGAGAGAGAGAGAGAGAGAGAGAGAGAGAGAGAGAGAGAGAGAGAGAGAGAGAGAGAGUGGGAUGAUAACAGUAGGAGCGAAGCACAGCUUAGAGAGAGAGAGAGAGAGAGAGAGAGAGAGAGAGAGAG